AGAGUUUGAUCCUGGCUCAGGACGAACGCUGACGGUGUGCUUUAGGCAUGCAAGUCGAACGAGAAAGCCCUUCGGGGUGAGUAAAGUGGCGAACGGGUGAGUAACACGUGGGCAACCUGCCCCUCGCAGGGGGACAACCGGAGGAAACUCCGGCUAAUACCCCGUAAGCUCUACACGCCGCAUGGCGAGUAGAGGAAAGGUAGCUUCGGCCAUCCGGCGAGGGAUGGGCCCGCGGUGCAUUAGCUAGUUGGUGGGGUAACGGCCCACCAAGGCGACGAUGCGUAGCUGGUCUGAGAGGAUGAUCAGCCACACUGGGACUGAGACACGGCCCAGACUCCUACGGGAGGCAGCAGCCAGGAAUCUUGGGCAAUGGGCGAAAGCCUGACCCAGCAACACCGUGUGGGUGAUGAAGGCCUUCGGGUCGUAAAGCCCUGUUGAUAGGGACGAAGGGCGAAGGGUUAAUAGCCCGGAGCUUGACGGUACCUUUCGAGGAAGCCCCGGCUAACUACGUGCCAGCAGCCGCGGUAAUACGUAGGGGGCGAGCGUUGUCCGGAAUUAUUGGGCGUAAAGAGCGUGUAGGCGGUUCGGUAAGUCUGUCGUGAAAUCCUGGGGCUCAACCCUGGGCGUGCGAUGGAUACUGCCGGGCUAGAGGGUGGUAGAGGCGAGUGGAAUUCCCGGUGUAGCGGUGAAAUGCGCAGAUAUCGGGAGGAACACCAGUAGCGAAGGCGGCUCGCUGGGCCACACCUGACGCUGAGACGCGAAAGCUAGGGGAGCGAACAGGAUUAGAUACCCUGGUAGUCC
rnacentral:rRNA from 1 species